rnacentral:rRNA from 1 species
CCUACGGGUGGCAGCAGUGGGGAAUAUUGCACAAUGGGGGAAACCCUGAUGCAGCAACGCCGCGUGAAUGAUGAAGUAUUUCGGUAUGUAAAGCUCUAUCAGCAGGGAAGAAGAUGACGGUACCUGAUUAAGAAGCCCCGGCUAACUACGUGCCAGCAGCCGCGGUAAUACGUAGGGGGCAAGCGUUAUCCGGAUUUACUGGGUGUAAAGGGAGCGUAGACGGCAUAGCAAGUCUGAAGUGAAAGCCCGAGGCUCAACCAUGGGACUGCUGUGGAAACUGUUAAGCUAGAGUGCUGGAGAGGUAAGCGGAAUUCCUAGUGUAGCGGUGAAAUGCGUAGAUAUUAGGAAGAACACC